CAGUCGCCGCGGUAAUACGAAGGGUGCAAGCGUUAAUCGGAAUUACUGGGCGUAAAGCGUGCGUAGGCGGUUUGUUAAGUCUGUUGUGAAAUCCCCGGGCUCAACCUGGGAAUGGCAAUGGAUACUGGCAAGCUAGAGUGUGUCAGAGGAUGGUGGAAUUCCCGGUGUAGCGGUGAAAUGCGUAGAGAUCGGGAGGAACAUCAGUGGCGAAGGCGGCCAUCUGGGACAACACUGACGCUGAGGCACGAAAGCGUGGGGAGCAAACAGGAUUAGAUACCCCGGUAGUCCCUGUCUCUUAUAC
rnacentral:rRNA from 1 species